UGGCAAUGUGAUUUCCCAUAUUCCUUUAAUUACUAAAUCACGAUGCCAGGAACCCCCACAAUCACAGUGAGUGAGUAGACACAUCUUCCACGCUGAGCAGCGAGAGCUUUUAAGCUUCCAUCCAAGAUGAGCAGCGUCCAAUGGCCAGAAGCUCAGUUGGACCAACCAAUGGCAACAAGAGUGGGUCAGUGGCUGGUUGCCCUGUGGGGCUUGCUGAACUUCCUUCAAUUAGGAGUAAAGGAUCUGUUUGGGGAGAUACAAGCUCGGCAUCUGUGGUGAACUACAUCUACCUGUCUGGACACGCCCCCCUGCUGACUGCUCCUGUGGCUCCUCCCACUCACCCCUGUAUAAAGGCGAUUGGAGGCACUGCUCCUCCCUCAGUCUCCAGGAUGUUGUGUGAUGGUCUAUUGCUGCUGACAGUGCUUUCUUCCAGCUAAUAAAAGCCCAUC